rnacentral:lncRNA from 1 species
UAACAUAAUUAUUAUUAGAUUAUUAGAUAUUAUAUUAUAUUAUAUAGAAAUGAAUUUUUAUAUUUUUAAAAGUAUAAGUCUUUGGUACUUAUAAAUUUUCGGUUCUUGGAUUAAAGAAUGUGCGUUUAGGAUGAUAUGGGUAUUCUAAAAUUGAGUGGGUGGUUGGUUGAAUAAUAUAAUCUAACGGGUAACGAUAAAAAAUUUACAAGCAUCAAGUGCUUGGUACUUUUACAAGCAGCAUAGCCGGACUCAUAUUAUAUAUAUAUAUAUAUAUAUAUUAUCCUUAUUAAAUUAUUAUUUAUUUAUAUAACGCCUCGUAUUAUUUAUACACACGUUACAGGUAAAUUAGAGUUGCGUGGGUUUGUUUCAAUGGAGGGAAGUGUAGGAGACAAGUAUAGAUCUCACCUAGUGGGAGAGGGAGAGAGGAACACGCGGUGGAGGCACGGAUCUCCUCCUACCUACGAACUCGUUAACCUUCUCUUCGAGCAAGAACGAACCAAGGUAAUUAAAUUCAACUAAAUCUAAAUCCUUUGGUGCUUCGUCGCCUUCUUUUUCUUGUUCACUCAAAAAUUUAAAGUGGAUAACAAAUUACUGCAUACUGUAUAGUUUAGUCAUCAUAUUUUUUUCAUUAAGAUCAAUAGUGCGUAGAAAAUUUCUCCAUAUUACUUUUUUGUUUAAUUUGUAAUACGUUGAAUAUAUAUAUAUAUAUAUAUAUAUAUAUAUAUAUAUNUCUCGGGCUCUGAUUUUGUUGUCCAGGAAAAUUCUGAUCCUCCUGCCUAUUUUAAUUCUAUCACACUAUUUUUGUGCACAGUACAUAUAUUAAUUAAAGAAGGUUACGUGUAUAGGAACUUGUCAAAAGCAAAAUCACAAAAUAUAAAGAGGUUAGUAAAUACAAGAUUAAAUAGCAACUACUACCGACAGUAACUAAUAUAAUUGGCUAAAAAUUUUUAGUAUUCGAGAUUUUAAAUUUAAAGUGCAGUUGCUUUACAAUUCUAGUUGAAUUUAUUUUUUAAAAAUAAACAAAAGGUUUAAUUAAUUAGGAAUUGAAUUUCAUCUGCAUGCAUAUAUGUUUGCAUUGUAGGAAUGGCCCAAAGGGUCGUUAGAGGAAACGGUGCAAAACGCUAUAAAAACCUGGGAGAUGGAGCUGUCCCACAAGACCCGACUCCAGGACUUCAAAUCCAUCAAUCCGAACAGUUUCCGGCUCUCCGUCAACGGCGCAAAGCCACUGACGGGCGAGGAGACGCUGGCGGUCGGCAGCUACAACGCGCUGCUCCGGAGCGCGCUGCCGGAGGAGCUGCGGUGCUACAAAGCGGACGCCGAGACGUUCGAGUCGUCGCACGAGCUGUUCCGGACGGCGUUCCCCCGCGGGUUCGCGUGGGAGGUCACGCGGGUGUACGCCGGCCCGCCGACGGUGGUGUGCAAGUUCCGGCAUUGGGGAUACAUGGAAGGGCCGUUUAAAGGCCAUGCGCCCACCGGCGAGAUGGUGCAGUUUCAUGGCGUGGCCGUUCUUAAGGUACUGUAUGAAACAAUCGUUUAUCACACAAAUAUAAAUUAUUUUUAUGUUUUAUGUUUGGCGUGUUACGUGUCUGUGUAGGCUCACGACUUUUUUUUUAAAAAAAAACUUGUUGUUUGAAUCAAAUAUUCAUUUCUAACAUAUUAAACUACUAAACAAAAUGGUAAUUUUAAUAUAUUUUAUACUUCAUGGAUAUUUUGUACUAUAUAUAACAUAUUGGGGGUGUUUGGCAUAAUUUUUAAAAAGCAUUUUUGGGUUGAAAAGCAAUUUUCGGCACAAUAGAACAUUCGGUAAUCUUAUUUUUAAAAUCUGAUUCUAUUUCUCAGAAUCAGAAAACUGAUUUUGAAGGCCCUAGAAUCAGAAACAGUAAAAAAAUGCCUCUUGAAUCAGAUUCUGAUUUUGGCCUCAAACUUCAAAUUUUUAUUUUCAUUUUAAAUUCAAUGUUUAAAUUUAAAUUUAAUUUUAAAUUUUAAUUUUCAGAUUUAUUUUUGAAUUUAUAAAUUUAAACUUUUAAAUUUUAAAAUUUGAAAAAUAGAUUUCAAACUUUAAAUUUUAAAUUUUAAUUUUAAAUUUCAAAUCUCAAAUUUUAUAUUUUAAAAUUUUAAAUUUUAAAUUUUAAAUUUCAAAUUUAAGAUGAAAUUUAAAAUUUAACAUUUUAGAUUUUAAAAUUAAAAUUUAAAAAUUCAAAAAUUUUAAAUGUUAAAUUACAAGUUUUAAUCUUCAAAUUAUAAAAUUUUAAAAAUUAAAUUUUAAAAUUUUAAAUUUUNAAAUUUUAAAUUUUGUAUAAUUUUGAAAUUUAAAAAUUUUAAUUUUAAUUCAAAUUUAAAUUUAGAUUUUAAAUUAUUUUAAAAUAAAAUUUAAUAAAAAUAUUAAUUUAUACAAACAUCAAAAAAAUUUUGCUAAACAACUUUUAAAAUUACUUCAGGAAAAUCACUUUUAUCUGAACUCAGCCAAACGCUCUACAGCUUUUAACCAAAGUUACUUUUCCAAACCAAAAUUAUUUUUUCAGAAAUCACUUUUUCAAAAGCUUGGCCAAACGGUCCCAUUUUUCAGAAAUCACUUUUUCAAAAGCUUGGCCAAACGGGCCCAUUAUCUCUUUCAAUUCUUUGUAAAAAUUAUCUUUUUAACACGUACACCAUGAACUGGAAAGAGGCUGCAUGUGUUAUACAAUUAUUUUCUCAAUGACUAAGCCUUUCUUUGUACAACAGAAUAAACAUGUUAAAUAAUAAACUUUUUUUUUUUUGGGUACAAAAGCUGUUUGUGUGAUUGAAAAUUAAGAAUUUAUUUUGCUUCUUGAAAGAUUUUAGUGUUCAUAAUUUUAUAGGAGUUAAUUUAUUUUAUUCUGAAAAAAAAAAUGAAUUCCAGGUAUGGUAUCCAUUCAAAAUAUUUGAUAGCAUUAAUCAUCUAUCAAAUAUUGUAUAUUUCUUUAGUAAAUUUUAAAGAAUACGUCAAAUAAGAUAUUCAUAAAUCAAAAUAAAACCUAAAUGGGUCUCACAAUGAUACGAGAAUGUUUCUCUAGCUUGAACAGUUAAUAAAUAAGAAACAAUUGUUGUUCUCCUAAAGCUCAAAAUAUCGGUUCAUAUUGAUGUUUCUAAUAUUUCUUUGAAAAAGUAAGAAAUAAAUAACAAUUUCAUAUUUUUUUUUUUUUGAGAGAAAGGUAGCACGCUACCUGCUUCAUUCACUAAGAGCAAUGAACUAAGCGUACAGGGUGGAAGCAGCUUAGGCUUCCUUUAGAGGGAACUUAGGGGGGUUACAUAAAAGGGAAUAAAGAGACAAAACAACGACAAGAAGAGGAGUCAGGGGGAGAGAGGGGGAAGACAGUAAAUGGCAACGUUGCACGAUUACAAUUUCAUAUUUUUAAAAUGGUAGACAAAAUAAACUUUUGAGUUUGAAUUCUAUCAAAUAUCUAUGUUCCUCCUCUCUGAUUAUAGAUGGAAGUAAAAUUUAAACGGCACAAACUGUAUCAUUAAGUAAUUUGUAUAAGUUUCGAAGCGGUGGGUCUCACACACCAUCCGAAAAGGUAAACGAUUUCAUUUUCAGAUUCUACUUAUAUGUAGAUAAAUUGAUUUUAGAAUUAUUUUCAACUGAUUGUAGCUCACCACUAUUAAUGCAGGUGGACGAGGAACUGAGGGUGGAAGAGGUGGAGAUCUAUUAUGACCCAGGGGAGUUCUUAGCAGGGCUUAUUAAGGGGCCACUCCUCUCCUCUACUGGUGAAGUGGAAUCACAUGCAACAUCUACUGUUACUGCCACAAAUCCAACUCAGAACACAUGCCCUUUUACCAGGUCAGAGUAGUGAACACAUUAUUAUAGUUAUGGUCAAAAUAAACAGGAGAGAAUAAAUGUGACAGCAAAUAAAGAUGUUGUAUUUGAUGUUUGUGCUGUUUGUCCUAGUUUUACCAUUUGAUAGAACUGUUGUGGCAAAAAGUAUCUCCAAUGCAAGUUAUAUCUUUGACGCAAAAAGCUAAAGGCCUUUUAAAGCACUACUGUGGGUAAAACAAAUGUGCUGUGAAAUGCUACGAGACUAUCUAUUUUAUUUUCGAAAACUAAUUUUGAGACUAAAUAUAAUACACAUUUAUCUAUUCAUACUCUCAUUUUACUACUUAGUAAGUUAGAAUGGUACGUUUUUUUUCUAAAAAUAAAUAAAAAAGACAUCAAAAUAUGCGGCUUUAUACAGCUCUUUUUGAGAUUGCGGAGAGAAUUAUUUCAUAUGAUGUAAAAGUAUGAUAAAAAAAAUUUAAUUUAUUCUCGUAAGAAUAACAUAUUUUGUGGAUUGUUUAGUCUAAGUAAGAAGGUGCGACAUCAAUUUUGUAAUCUUAUAGAAAAAAAAGGAAAAAGGGAGAAAUAAAUCUCAUUCUUUUUUUUUUUUUGGAGAGAGAGAGAGAGAGAGAGAGAGAUUGUUACCCACCUUGUUUAUAUUUUAUUAAUGAACAUUUAAACUAAACAAGAUAAAGCAAUUAUGUUUUUAGUUAGAGAUUUUAGCCAACUGAGCUAGGUAGGAUUAGUAAGGCUUAGUUUGGUACUGAGAUUUAUCUAACGUUAUUAGAUAGAAUGAAAUUGAGAAAAAGCAUAUAAGGAUAUAUUUCUGCGUUCUUCGAUGAAACCAUAGAAUAUAUCGUAACCGGCUAACCGUAAUAUGUAAUAUGCGAAACAUAAUAUUCUUAUUGUCAUUUCUUAUUGCAAGUAACGCAAUCUUACCGUAAUCCCAUCUCAUUGCAAGUAACGUAAUUUUUCCACAAUCUAAAACGAAGUGUAAAUCUCAAUCUUUAUUAUGACAUAGUCAGUGCUAUCGUGGCUCUCAACAUCAGAGCGGGAAGUGACAAAUAAUGGUCGUGUUUAGUUGCCGGGCACAGGAAGGAGGAUUAUAGAAAAGGGUCAUGAUGCAGCAGCUACCAUUAGUAAUCUAUAGCUAGUGUACGUCCCACGCAAAAAGCAACGUAAAGCAAAUUCGAUCGAUCUACGGGCUUCCUCCCUUUGCCUUCGUCCAUUCCACAUCAUUCCUACCGGAUGCCAAGAAAGGAGUACAAAAAAUUCCACGAGAAAACCCCUCCCAGUACUGGAGAAAUUAUUAAUCGGACCAGUUCCAUCAUGAAACAAUCUUUUAGUUUUCCUAACAUUAAACUUAAAAAUGUUGUUAUGAACAUUUUGAAAUUGAGAGAGAGUUUAGAUCGAUCUAAUAAUGGCUAGUGGUAUGCAAAUAGUUUUAAUGACGAAAAUAAACUCUUGUGUGUUAAGGUUAAUCAUAGACAGUUUUUUAUAUCAAUUAUGAUAGAUUCAACUGAUAUAUAUCCACUGUAUAUGUGAGCAUAAGUGUUAAAAUUGAUUAUGAACUAUAUCCUACUAAUCUGAUUUUUUUGAGAACAUUGUCCAUCUUAAUCUGUUUUAUAGUAUUAUUUUUCUGUUUGAGAUCUUGGUAACACAGUGCUAACUUUCGAUUUUGUCACAUGCAAACCAUUUAUAGGCUGAUGUGGUGAACUGGGUUCAGGAAAGACUUUCUCUUCAAAGUAACCUGACACAAAAGCCCACCCAUCAGUUGUUUUCCUCCAUUCCCCUUCCCUCCAACAGGGCAUCAACGGCUAUUCUCCGAUCCUACGGUCCAAAACAGCGCAUCCUUCUCAUCACACGGCCAAUGUCCACGAAUCAUUUCAUAGUCCUAAAUUUUUAUAAAAGCGUAUCUUAAUCGGACGGCUCGUGAUCUCAUGAUCAUUAACAGCAAGGCCGAAAGAAAUUAUCCCCCGCACCAAGAGUACAAGUAUAUCUCAUCUCAUGCACCAGAUAAUAAAUUUUUUAUGUAAAAAAAUACUUUGGGGUUAUUGAUUAUAUUAAUUGAAUUAGAGGCUCUAAUCUUCAGUCUGCACACUAAAUUAUCAUCAAAUAAUAAUAAUAAUAAUAAUGUCCGGUGCAGGGACGAAGUCAGAAAUUAAGAUUCGGUGGGGCCAAAAUUUAGAUUUGAUAGGAAAAAAAUUCGAUCUCGGAUAGUAAGAAAAAAAAAUUUGUCAAAUUCACAGAUAAUAAUAAUAUGCCAAAAAGGAACAAGACUGUAAGAGUUGAAGGAAAAGGACCAAGAAAUUCGAAAAAAAAAAAUUGAGACACAAAUUUUGUUAAAAAAAUUAAUUUGGCCCCCUAAAUUUAAAAUUUAUAAUAUUUUAAUUUUUAUUAUUAAGGACUUUUAUAUAAUUUUAAAAAAUUUAGAGGGGGCAUGGCCACUGUGGGCCCCUCAAUAGCUCCGUCCCUGGUCCGGUGCAUAAGAAAUAUACUAGUACAUCUGGUUCAAGCAAAUACUGAUUCAAAAACGAAGAAAACUCCACUCCGCUCCCACACACAACCUCGAAAGCAGCAACUUAUUUUAUCAUUUUUUAAAAAACUGACACGAGACCUCUGUUCUCCAAAUUCCCACUUUUCCUCUCUCUCUCUCUCUCUCUUUGUCUCUCUCUUGCUCUCUUUUUACACUCGUGCUCUCUCUCCCACUCUCGCUCCCAUGGCCACCCCCAAAACCCCACCCUCUCUCCUCCUACUCCUCUUCGCUCUUCCUCUUCUUCUUCUUCUCCUUCUCCUCCCCUCCAUCGCCAUUGCUUCCCCCAGAGGCCGCGGAUGGAUCCUUUGUAGCCCCCGGAGACGACGAGCUCCCCGCUUCCCCUCUCCCGACCCCCUCCAUCGAUACCCAAAAACCUUCCUCUUCGAUCGAAAUCGAGGAGCGUUUCUUCUUAGUUACUGUUUUUAGUGUGUGAGGGUGAGAAUGAGGAAUGUUGUGUAUACGCUAAGACAAUUAUUUAGUACAAUUAAUUAAUAGCGACAUUUCCUUUUUCUUUUUCUUUUUCUUUUUUUUUUUUUGGUCGGUGUCGGCGCGCGGGAAGAGUGUUUCCAUGGGGAUUUUUUUCACUUUAAUCCAUUAAAACUUUAUAAUUAGACACUCAUGUUGUUCUAUAAAAUUAAUUAAAAAACNCCGGGGCUCUGGGUCUCCCGCCUCCGCAACCUCACCCUCCUCUCCCUCGUCGACGUCCCCGUCCUCGUCUCCGCCCCCUCCAUCGUCAUCUCCCAGAUGCCCCACCUCCUCGCCCUCACCCUCUCCCGCGCCAACCUCUCCGGGCCCCUCCCCCACCACUGGCACUGCCUCCGCCUCGCCCACCUCGACCUCUCCUCCAACCGCCUCACCGGCCCCGUCCCCACCUCCAUCGACCUCCUCGCCUCGCUCCGCUCCAUCGACCUCAGCUCCAACUCCCUCUCCGGACCCCUCCCCGACUCCUUCGGAGACCUCCUCGCCCUCAGAAACGCGUCUCUCUCCAACAACUCCUUCUCCGGCCCCAUCCCCGCCUCCUUCGCCGCGCUCUCCGCCCUCGCCCGCCUCGAUCUCAGCUCCAACCAGUUCAACGGGAGCAUACCCGCCUCCCUCUCCGAGCUGCGGGGGCUCAGGGUGCUCAACUUGGAGAACAACAACUUCCAGGGAGUGAUCCCCUUCAACGCCUCCUUCGUGGCGCGGCUCGAGUCCUUCAAGGUGCGGGGGAACGCCAACCUCUGCUACAACAAAACGCUGCUCUCGCCCAAGCUCAAGCUCGGCGUCGCGCCCUGCGAUCGCUACGGCCUCCCGCUGUCGCCGCCGCCGCAGCGGGCGACAAGGUCGGACUCCUCGGACUACGCGGAGGACGGCGAUGGCGACGACGACGACAAUGGCGGGGGCAAGGGUUCGGAUGGCGGAGGACGCCAUGGGCCGAACAGGCUCGUGCUCGGAGUGGCCAUAGGUUUGUCUUGUUUGGUGUUCUUGGUCAUCUUCCUUGUUUGCCUCUCUAAAGUUUGCCGAUGAAGCAGAGUUCAAAAUGUGUCUUGGUUUUGGGGUUUUGGAUCAGUUCUUUCUUAUAUUUAAUCGUUUAUUAAGAGAUGGAUUUUGAUUUUUGAACGAAGAUUUUGAACGAAGAUUUUGAACGAGGAGCUGUGUGUGUGUGUGUAAAGUUUUCCUUCUUUGGCAAACCAAACUAUUCAAUUCAUUGUAGCUUCUUACGGAAUAGUAUUUAUUUAUGUGGCUGUUCACGGAAUGUUGGUUGGGGGAUUGAAAUUUAUGGCCAUGCUAUUUGAGUUUAUGAGAGUAAGUAGGAUGACGGGUUAAGAAAGACUUGUCAAAUUAUUUUAGAUAAUCUGUAGUAUUUUUUUAAAUUAAACAUGCAAAUACAUGGGUUAUGGGUCGAUGCCCUCGGUUUAUUAUUAUUUUCUUUUUUUGAAUCUGUUGGGUUUUACCUUUGAGCUGUAAAUUGUCCUUUGCAUCUGUUUUAUACUGAUGGUUCUUUUAAAAGUAAUCAUCUUUUCUCUUCUUUUUAUUUUUUUUAUUUUAAUGCCAAAGAAAGUAGCAAUAGGGGGGCCGGGGACAAAAUAUAAAAUGUGCUGACAGCACAAAUGCGCGAAACAAGCAGAGUUCUAAUUGAAGUUCAUCGUUAACACUAACACAAAAAUCAAAACUACAGAUCAAAACACCAGAACAACACAUCAGUUUGCAGCUUAGCAUUGUCGAGAAUAUUGAAUCUAUGGAGCAAAUCUGAUUUAAGUCAUAGCAAACAAUCCGCCCUUUGCAGAGUAUCUGCAACCAUAUGUACCCUCCGAGUUGAUACCUCUAGCUAUUGUCCAGACUCCAGAGCUUACAAGAAACAGAGAGACUACUAUUCGUCCUCCAAAGCAUUCAUAUCAGCACCGUUCCAAAAUGCAUUACAACUAUCAACACUACUACAACACAGAAGAUCUAAAAAUCUCACAACUUAAUUUCCAUGAAUCAGCUGAAACAUACAAAAAUCCACCAGUAAAUUUCAUGAAUUACCAGCUAGAUUAAAAUUGAAGUCGCACCAGUCUGACAGGUUGAUAUGGUGCUCUUAGGUCUCCAUAAUCACCUAUCUGACAGGUUGAUAUGGUGCUCUUAGGUCUCCAUAAUCACCGAACGGCGGUGAGAAUUGAUGCUAAAACUAGGAUUCUGUUUACUAUAAAUGUUGCGACAGAAUGCAAAUUACAUUUGAUAAAACUAACAAACUGAAUUCCAACUAAUGCAAAGCCAAUAGCAAGACACUUAACAAGUAGGGAUAGAAAGUGCCAAACAUAGUUCUGAAGCAGGAGAAUAGAAGGGUUAAUAAUAGCAACAGAGACUUCUUAAACCUUCAAAAUCCACAUAAUGCAGCUGAUAGAAAUAUGACCUUAGUUGUUGCACACAUUAUGCGAAAAAGCAUCUUAAAGAUUAUCAAGAAAGCAAGUUAUCAUGCUAAAUACAUAAUUCAAGAAUAAGGGUAUGUUCGGUUCAUGAUUGGAAUAAGAAUGAAAAAUAAAAUUGUAUUGCACUGGAAUGGUAAAUAGAACGAUGCAACAUCAAAAUAUAUUUGGUUCAUUAUUGCAAUGAAAAUCAAAAUGAACAUUUAAAAUUUUAAAAAGAGAGUUCCGGUUAAAAGAGAGGAGAGUCAUGGAAGGACAGGAAAGAGGUGUUUGUGAGAAAACGUUUUAAAUCGUUUACUUUAUAAUGGACCAAUCUCGAGGGACCAAUCUUGAAUUUAAGGUCAUAAAUGAAUUGGGUAAUUCCCAUUUCAUAGUGGAAUCGGAAUCAGAAUACCAUUUGUAUAAAACAAACAACAACCAUCGGAAUUAAUAAAUCUCAUUCCAAUUCUAUAAUCUAAAAUAGGUAAACCAAACAAGUCCUAAGUGUGAUUAUGAUGUCUACAAUAUUCUAGAUGAAAGAGUUGGAGAAUGAACCUAGAACAACAACAACAAUAAUCUCCAUGAAGCAUCAGUUUGCAUCAACAAUACAAAGAGUCACAUAAUCAUACACUGAAUAACGCUAGCAAUCUCUCAAGCAACAUACACGCUAAACUAAACUACAUUGGUACAUUGAAACUAUAUGUCAUCUUCUCCUUCACUUUGACUCUCCGCAAUUGAACUAAUAUAACCCAAAAACAUUACUCUUCAGCUACUUUUUAGCCCCUGGUUACAUGGCAUAAUUUUGAUUCUUUUCAAAUCAAUUCAAAACCAAAUGAGAUAGGAAAUGUACUUAAGGUAUGAUCAGCUUCUUUCCGGCAUAUAUCGUGUCAUUGUUAACACCAUUAGCUUGUUUGAUGGCGUCGACGGAGACCUAAAAUCACCAUGUCAUCAUUGGGGCAUUUCCACAAACAGUUAGUAACCAAUCACAUUGAACAGCCAAAUUAAACUGCUAAAAGAAAUAAUAAUAAUAAAGAAAGAAAGAAGCCUACCCCGUAUCUCGUAGCGAGACCCCAGAGGGUAUCUCCCUUUUCGAUCACAACGACCCGAUCUGAGCAUGAUUCUCUAGCGAAACCCUCGUCAAGCUUGGGUUUAUGAGUAGAAACCUAAAAUGGCGCCAAACUUACACGAAAAUAGCGGAAUGUGGGAGAGACUAAUGUCGUAAUUUUUACCUUAGAGGGCUCAGGAAGUUGAGGAGGUGGUGGGGGAGGAGGAGGAGGAGGAGGAGGAGGAGGUGGUCGAGGAUGCGAGUGGUGGGGGAUGAGACCUUUGACGACGCUGAGUGCGAUACCGGAGAAGACGAAGAAGCCCACCGCCUUCGCCACGGCGGCUUCUUUUGAUCGGCCCUUCCGGCCAUCUUCUCCGGCGGCGGCGGCGGCGGCGGCGGAGGCGUCGGAGGAGGAGGGCAUCGUUGCGAGGGUUUAGGCGAGAACUUCGCCCACGCGUGUAGUUGGUGAGCUGAAUCUCACUUUAAUUUGCCUCUCCGUACUUGACACGGUAGGACACGUGGCACGAUUGGGGCUACUGCUAAUGGGCCCUUAGUAGGCCUGAUGGUUUCAAGGCCUAUUAAAACCCGUAUAGAUUAUAGUGUGUGUCCAAACCCGGGCCCACUUGGGCCGUAUUAAAAUGGAGUAGAUGAAUAAUCCAACUAAGACUCCAGUGGAGAUUGUGAGAAUAAUAACAUUGCGUACAGUGAGAAGAUACGAUAAAAAAAAAUUAUUUUUUUUACUGGAGAUCACAUUGUAUAGUUGUAGUAUAAUUUCUGCGAUCGUAUCAGCAAAGAACAAGCAAUCUUAAUAUACUUACUUUUGUUCCAACUCCUUUUGAUCCAAUAAGAUUAGGUAGUUCUCCAUACCAAUUGGACGAUAAAAGCCUAUUUGGCCCAACGGUGUAAUCUGAAAAUUGAGUACAAUACAAUAUGGUUUGCAGAAACUCCGACUCUGAAACAUCUGAUUUUUCUGGCACCAGGAUAAACAACCGUAACGGCUUGCUGACGGAAUAAUGGAAAUGAUAUGGAUCAGUUUGAAUCAGAUUAGUUUAUUAAUUAAACUGAUUUAUCGAAACGUCUAUGGAAUAAUAAUGGAAAUAACAUGGAUCACAAGAUCGGAUAGGAUAACUUGUUUUUCUUUCUUACCCAACACGUCCUGAUCAAAGGUUGCGACAAAUUUUGGUGACUUUGAGAGCUCGAAGGAAACUUCAGUAUUUAUCUCUCCCACAAUUCUUGAUGAUUCCAUAGUCCCCACGAACCUCUCAACUGGACCCCUCUCGAGACUCCUGCUCCUCAAAUAUAUCACGCAAACUCUUUAAUUCAACUACAACCUGAAAAAUAGAUCGGGCACUUCUCCGUAGCACUUCACUCACCUACUCGUUUGCGACAUAAAAAUUGUUGCGUGCGCAUGGUCCACUACAUGAGGCGUGGACCUUUCAUCACUCCUUUCACACAUAAAAUAAAAUUAGAAUUUACAAAUAGAGUAAUGCUAUUUCAGCACCUUUUGUAUUUUUUUUAAUUUUAAAAUAUUAGAGAUAAUUCAUUUUAAAAUAUUAAAAGAAAAAAAAUUCAAAUCUCUAUUCUAUUUUUACCAAACAAAUAUUUUAGAGGUAAAAUUUACAAGGGAUCGAUGAUUAUUCCCACUUAAUUUAUUUUGUAUAAUUUUUUUAAAAUAAAUAAAAGUGACAAAUGUACCAAAUGUUGUUUACGUUCAUAAAUAAUUUUUAUAAUAUUUUAUAAAUUUGCAUGUGUGAUGUUAUUUAAUCAAUAGAAAUAUAUGAGUCACAAAGUGUAAAAGUCAAUAAUAAAAAUUUAGUUAUUAAAUUUUAAAUUUUAUAAUUUAGUGCAAAAUGAUUGGUAAGCGUAACAUUUUUCUUUAAGACAUUAAUAUAACUGAUUGAUUGAAUGGUGAUGAUUUGGAAAAGAGAUGGAACUAUGUUGCCAAAAUAUAGUUUGCAGUUCACGGAUGAUCUGGUGGACCAAGUCCACGCAACACUUUUCUGAAAGCGUCAGAGAACUCUUAUACUCACUGGAGCUAACCGUAUCUCAGCAAUGUUAAAAAUCGCACUGCGCGGCUCCAAAGCGCAAAACCGAAGAAUAAAAAUCGCAACAGAGUAGUGGUGGAGGAGAAGGGAAGAGAAGCGCUUCUAAAGCAACAGAAGCGCUUCUCACUGGAGUCAGAUCGGCUUCUUCCUUGUCGCCCUCCCCCAUGGCGCAAUUCCUCUCCCCGGUGCGCGCCGAUUCCCUUCUCAAGUUCCAGAACUCGUCGCCGACUUUAGUACUCGGCUACGGAGAUCGGCGGCGGAGCUCGGGGGAGGCCACUAGGCUCGGGGCCGAUCGGCGCCGCCGCGUGCGGAGAUGCGUCAAGGUCGCCGCGGCGGCGGCGGCGGGGAGGAGGGGAUCGAGCUCGUCGGAUGAUGUCGCCGAUGAUUACUAUGCAGUCCUUGGAGUGGUAAUCCACAUCUAUACAUUCGAUUUUGUUUAGUACUUGUGGUAUUUUUCUUUUUUAAUGUUAGUUUAUGAAAUGUUGUUUAAUGAUCCAGGAGGAGAAGAAGCUAGGAAUUAUCAGUUUCUAUUGAUCAUCUGUGGAGAAUUUUUUAUUAUAUAUAUACAUUUUUUAACCUGAAAUCGUUUUUUUGAUUAAUGCAAUAGCUUUGAAGUUCCGGCCAAAGGAGUUUCGUGUGGUUGUCUAAAAUUAACGCUAGCUUUAAUUUUGAAUAUUGGAAUCAAACUCUGGUGUAGGGGCUAACUUAGAUGGAUUGGAUUUGGAUGUUGCUCUUAUUAUAAAAUUAUCUUGCCAUUUGUUGUCCUUACGAGUCCUGGAGGUGUUAUGUGAAUGGUUAUGUGUGCAGGGCAGUGUGGAUGAAGCAAAAUGGAUUCUUUUCUACAUGGUCAUUUAGUAUUUACUAGGGAACGGGAGUUAAUGACAAAAUUUUUGAUGUUAGGUAUAUUUAUAGUAAGAGGUUUUCCAACUAAGAAGAUGCAUAGAUGAGAAACUGGUGGAAUAUUUCUUCAACUUGUGUUAGUUUUAUGCAAAUGGUUUGGUGCUGAAAGAAAAGGGACACAAGAUAUUAGCAUUAUAUACUUAGGAACUUCAUCUGACGGUUUGCCACUGCAUUUGUUAAUGAACAUCUACCUCUCUACGUCUAUUAUUUAGCUUCUUACACAUUUAUAAAUUGUACAACAUUUCAGAUGCCAGAUGCCACCCCGCAACAAAUAAAGAAAGCUUACUACAAUUGCAUGAAAGCAUGCCAUCCGGACUUUAGUGGGAAUGAUCCGGAUGUGACUAACUUCUGUAUGUUCGUCAACGAGGUCUAUACGGUAGGCUCCUCAGACUUAUAACUUGAGAUAUGACUGUUUAUAAUGCGUGCCCAAGUUGUUGUAUUCAGUCAGCUAACAUGAAUCAGGGAAGAGCAGGUGCUCAGUGACCCUAUGCAGCGUAUGGUGUACGAUGAAAUUCAUGGUUAUGCGGCAACUGCUAUCAACCCUUUCUUGGAUGACAGUCCUCCCAAGGAUCACACAUUUGUUGAUGAGUUUUGCUGCAUAGGUAUUCGCUGUUUCCACUUCUACAUUAAAUUGUAUCUGGGAAGUGAAAGAAACUUCUUUGUAUUGCUUUCUUGAUUAAACUCUAAUAUAGGAAUGCACUUGAGAUGUUAAUAUCCUAUUUGUCAGCGUCUUAUUCUCUGAUGUUUCCCAUAUUCAUUUAUUGCCUUUUUCUCAUGUAUAAACAGGUUGUAAAAAUUGUGCUAAUUUGGCUCCUGAUGUGUUCCGAAUCGAGGAAGACUUUGGAAGAGCUAGAGUUUAUUGCCAAUCAGGGAAUCCAGAUCUAGUUCAACAAGCUAUUGAUAGUUGGUUAGUAUUUGAAAUUUGAGGUUUAAUUCCUUUCUAAUAUGCUAAUGGAAUAACUCCUCUGGCUCUCAUGCCUAAUCAAUUUUUGUCGCUAGAUAGAAAACUUCAGAGGAUUAAUCCGCUUUUUCCUGUACCAUUCUUGAAGGAAUAGGAACAUGUGAUUCAAGAAUUCUGUUUUGUUGUUAAAUCCUUGAUAUUUGAUAUUUUAUCUCCUGUAAGUUCAGUCAGUUUGUUAGACAGUUGAGCUUCUCUCUAUUCUGGCUGUAGUAAAUUAAAAUGGAAUUCACAGUGUUAUUCUUCAACCAAAGUGGAUUUGGUUUAUCCAUUCCUUCAAUAAUAAUUCCAUGACUCCCCAAUCUUAAUUGAUGAUGAUCCAUUAUUUGUCUUUUCUUGUAGAGUUCUCUUUCUUCAUUAUUUAUUUAUUUAUUUAUUUUUCUCUCCCUUGUGCUAAUAUUGCUUUGUUGGAAUCUUUAUCAACUUUCCAGCCCAGUUGAUUGCAUUCACUGGACUUCUGCUGCACAACUUUCGCUCCUUGAAGAUGAAAUGCGCAGAGUGGAGAGAGUAAAUGUAAGAUAAACUUCAUAUCAAACUUUAAUCGAGACAGUGAUAUGGUAGUUGUGUUUAUAAUUGAUACUUAUCUUGCUUCUUAUUGUUUUAUGUGGUGGGGAACUAAACUAAGAUGACAGAAUAGGAUUGUAGCAUUUUAUCCAUGUUCUAUUGUUUUCUUUUCUUCUCUUCUCUUUUCUUUUAUCUGUUUUGUGUGAAGGACAUUACACAACCAAUGUGUGCAAUCAUGUCAGCAUGUUAUAUGGUACUAAAGGCAGCAUAUAUUCUAGCUGUUAUCAGCAUCAUCAGAAAACUGCAGUGUUAUUUAUCACUAUUUAAUAUGUUGAGUGCUUCAAAUGACUAUGAUUUGCUGUAAAGGAAAAUGGUUCUGAAAGAUGUAAACUCAGCUUAGAAGCCGAUCUUGUGUUUUAAAUUACUGGUUGAAUCAGAAAAGCAUCCGUUGAUACUUCACCAACUUGAGUUUUAUUCAGACAUGGCUAGAGCAGGGAAGACCUAGCUUGGCACUUGAUUUUGCGAAUGGCCCAGACCCUCUAUUAAGUUAUAUGGCACUUGCUAGUUUAUUGAGCCAAAUUUUUCGAGAUCAUCAUAAUUUUUAUUGCUAAAUCAGAUUAUUUCAUCCAUUUCUAUGUUAGCUCUCAAUCUAGAGUUUUUAUUUGGCUUGUGUUCUUUUUUGUUCAAUGAAAAGCCUGCUAAAAUAGAAGCUAACUGUUUUAUGGUCUUCGACUAGGUUGGCCUAAUGCUUGCGGGCAUGGGAGGCUCAUCUAUUGAUGUAUUUCGCAUGGUAUUUAUUCGACUAUCUUAAUUCAUGAUCAUUUCUGUCAUUUUAUCUGACAAUGCAACUUUCCAAAUUAUGCACGAGUGCUUGUCAAAUGUGGAUUAACUCGAUCAGUGUCACUAAUUGACCCGUAGGCCCUAGCCCAAAAUCCUUUGAUGAUUAGGAGUCAAGCACGUUGUUGAAGUCCAGUUGAUAGCCCUAAAUUCUUGCUCAUAGAUGUAGUCAGCAGUGAGAUAUUCUCGUAUAGUAAAUCUCUAUUCUUCUAGGGUAAUUUAAAUGCGAUUCAAACUAUUGAAUGCCAUGUAUAUUGAGGAUCAAAUGCUUGAACUUGUUAAUGGGCUCUCUGCUGGUGGAGGAUGAGGAUUCCAGACUUGAAACCUGGUAUAGGGUUCAUGUAUAUGCUCACUAAUGUUUCCUUCUAUUACAUUUCAUGUCAUAAGAUAGUGGUUGGGAGUCCUAGCCGGCUGCAGUUUGUCUAGUCUGUUGUAGUUCAUUUCUAGCAAAGUUUGCCGCUGGCUUAUGCAGUCCACACUGGUACAAAUUAAAAUCCAGAUUUUAGAACAGAGAUAUUGAUUGUUAUGGAAAAAUUCCAUAUUAUUGACAAGUGAGAUUAAGAUGCAUAGUUUUUCAAAAGUGGUUACUCCUAACAUUUUUAACACACAUAACAGGCAAGUUCGCGGUGGGAAAAGCGACAAGCAAAAGUCUUGGUAUGUUUCCUGAUUUUUCAAUUUACUGCUAUGUACUUUCUCAAAUUGUUAGCUAGACUACAUCAGUAAUGUCGAACACCACUUUGAUUUCUUGCUUUUCACGUAUUGCAGUCUUUAUUCUUCAGAAUGAAGCCUGAUAAUCAUUUGAGGAUCUCUGCCAAUUUCUUUUAAUUUGUCUUAGAAUAUGAUCUCAGCAGAUCCUAUCUCAAUAGGAAAGUCAUGGAUCAUAUCUAUUGGUCAUAAUAAUUGCAUUCCUUUGCAAUUUUCUAAGAUACCAGUGUGGCUUGUAAUUCUAAUUGUGAAUCUCACUUAUUUAGUCAAUUUAUACAUAGUCAAACAUUUAUAUGCAAUUUGCAAGCAUGUUAUUAGCAACUGUUACCCAUAUAGGCAGAGUUUUAUAGCAAUAAAUUUAGGAAUAAAAAUUACACGAUAUAUGAGAUUCACCAGCCUUAAUAUUUACUCAUCUCAUCGGAGUUGGCUUCUUGCAUUCAGGAAAAGGUUAGGAUUCGAAUGAUGAAGAAAGAUUCUGAUACAAGUGGGUCUUGGAGUGAUGUUUGGAGAAAGUCGAGAAGUUACGAAAAUACAGGUACUUCUAAGAUAAAAAGUUAUGUAAUGUUACCAGUAUCUUUUGUUUUGUCAGCUAUAUAACUUUAGCUAUUUCUUAAUUUAUCUUCAAGGUUUAUAACUUUGCCUGGAAAAGUGUAUGAGCCUUAUUGUUCGAACACAUUAUCACUAGUUAGAUGCGUCCACAUUCAUUUGAAUCAAAACGGACGUAAUGCCUGCAUGAAUAUGAAAUAUAUUAUUCAGUAAAAUUUGAGCAUUGUCGUUGUUGAUUACGAUGUUAAUUGCUUAUAUCUAUGUAUCGUGCUUCAUCUGGAUGUGCACAAUAUAAAAGAUCAUUGGGUAGAACCUCAUGCAUAGUUUCUAUACGAAGCAAAAAGCAACUCUUGGGGGAAAGGCUUGUCCUGCAGCCUGAUAGUUGUUGCCCUAUAGACAAAAUCUCUUCACUGCACUAGUUCUAUUUGCUAAUUCUCAACUAAAUUUCUCCUAUUUGAUUCUUGGGUGCUUAUGUAAUUAUCUUUAUGAAUAAUACCAUUGGUUUAAUUCAUAUCUCAACCAAUCAUCCAUAGUAGUAAGCUGGUUCCAUGUCGGAUGCUUGCCUGCUGCAUCGAACAUGUUCAUCUUGUUAUCAUGAUAGGGCAAUACCGAGUACUAGAAAUACCUAAACUUUGCAUUAUUCAGAUACUAAUGUUAAGUUUUGAAUUAAAAAAUAAUAAUUUAGUGGUGUGAUUUUCAGAAGAGGGAGCAAAGGAGAGAGCAAAGAGAGCUGCAGCAGCAGCAAGAAGGUGGAGAGAGUACUCGAGGAGAGGAGCAGAUAGACCUCCGACAUUCAAACUUCCAGAGGCGAUGUCCAGCAAAGAACAAUGAAAGGAGGAAAUUACUCUGGGUCAGCAUUUCUUGCCUAUUGAUCUGACUCAAAAUUUUUUUUUUUCCCCGUUUCAUGUUAUAUUAUAUUUGUAAAUCCAGUAUAAAUCAGAUGAUAAUUUUACAUGGGGCCUCAGGAAGGUCACUACCCUCUUUAAUUUGUAAUAUAUGUACAUACUGUACCACUUCGAUUAUUUUGAUUGAUAUAGGGAAUUAUUCUCCAUAUUUUAAGAGUCAGAUUUGGCUUUGUUCUCAUUGGGAAUGCAUUAGUCUUGUGCAUGUAUAGAACUUCAGAUCUUUCUGAGUGCAAAGUCAGACGUCUACUUCCUUGUUUACACUACCAGAUUAAAAGUUUGAAAUUAGCGUCGUCUUAAUGACCAAAAAGAAUGAAACACUGUUCACACCACUUGAAAGUUGAAACACUUGCAAACAAAUGGUUAGAUUGCAAAAGAAGACACACAAAAGAAGGGAUUGAAUUGUGUUGAGAGUCUUUAUUUCGAUCCUAUCUAACGGUGCAGGCAACAGCUUGAGCCCAAGAUUUUAGGUGUUUUCUCAUGGCUAAACUAUCACUGAAAGAAGGCAAAGCAUAAUAACAAUUGAGUGGUGUGACAAAUCUCUCCAUCAUGUAUGCUCUCCUCAUCCUUCGGUGCGCCCGAUUCGCCGAAACUGGUCUAGCCUCUGAGCCCCUCUCACCGCAACUCAUCGUAUAUAUUUGAUUUUGCGCUUCGAAACUAGUGGUCUGUUUUUGAUUGCUCUCUACCCUUCUCUGCUCGGUGCUGACCGCUUUAGCGCAUUUUGGAUCUCCGUCGGAUUCUUCGUUCGCCUUCUCCUCUGUCGACUCUGCUGUUAAUACUUCUAACGGACCCCGAGCUUUCGGCCCUAUUCGGAGAAAAUCCUUGGUCAUGGGUUGGGUUUCUUUUGGCUUUUCCCUACAUAGCAUAAGAGGAGGAGAUGGAGUAGUAAGGAGAUUGGAGAAGAACCAAAGAGAGUCGAUACAUUCCAAGAUCAUAUCUUCGUCCAUGUAUGUGGUCGCCUAAAGAAUAUAGUGAAUUGGGACGAAGUGGUAGGGAGAGGGAAAUACUAUUGCAACUAGAACUACAUAAGCAGAGGGAGUUUGAAUUUGGUGGGUUGGCACGCUAUCGUUAACCUUUCGAGGUGGCAACGGCUCUGUGGCGCACGUGACAGCUAAAAAGAAGUCCUACGCGCAUUGGCGCAGCUUUUGAGGACGCGCCCAGCCAACCUAACCACCGGUCCCACCAAAUAAUUUACUUGGGCCAGAUUAGACUUUCAGAGUUUGGGGGCCCAAAACUCUCCAAUCUGAGCCCAAACUUGCAGGAUUGCUGACUGCGUAGGCAGAUUUUUUAUUAUUAUUAUUAUUAUUAUUAUUAUUAUUUAUUAGUUUAACGGUGCAACAGACGUGGCUAUUUUUUCUGUCUUUCUCCAGAUUGAUAGAUGUUGAAUCAGUCGGUGUGCGUAAUUGUGAAGCUCAAUGUAAAGAGAUGGACAAGUGAGCGUGUCCAGAAGGACAUCCAAGUCUAGAUGAUUCCGGGCGAAAAGGCACGUUUCAAUAAGCCGGUAUCUUCAGAUAAGUGGUAGUAUGCGACCACUCUCGACUCACUCAUUCUUCAUUCUUUCUCAUAGUGUGGUCCUCCUCUGCUCUUUAGUUCAACUUAAAUGGAUUCAUGAUCUAUCAUCUAUGUAAGACGGCAUAAUCAGUUCUUCUUCGCCUGUAAGGCAGUAUUUGGUUAGGGGAUAAGAAUAGAAAUAGGCUCUUAUUCCCUUUUAUACUCAAACACUAAUUUUUUAUCCGAGAACAGUAGUUCUCGGUUAGUUAUAACUAUCCCCACCAACACCUCCAUUUUCUAUAUAAAACUAUCUAAUAUUUUUUUUAUUCCAUAUUAUCUAUCCAAACAUUAUUUUUCUGAUCUCCGGAAACAACCCAAUUUUCAUCCAAACACUAUUUUUCUUAUCCCCAUACUUAUAUCUAUCCCUAUAAUAGUUAGUUCUUGCUUAUACUCGAACCAAACGGUACCUAAGUGGCUAAAGAAAAAAGUGUCACCAAGUCCUUAAUUCAUUUUUUAUUUUUGAAAGUAAUUUUGUUCCACCAAGAUCCAGGGAGAAAUUAUAUCCUUGGACCUUGACCGUCACUUCAUCUCACGGUCUCACCUCAUCACCCCUCCCCUGCAUCCCAUAAAUCCCAACCAUAAAAAAUUUACAACUGUAUGCAAAUUUAAAAGUUCGUCGAUCCGAGGCUGGUGUGGCGGACCACGUCCAGGCAAUUAUUUCUUAAGGCGAAAGGACUCGGUGAUGCUGCAUUUCUGAGGCAAUCCAGUGGAGAUUGAUGGGUUUCUUUCCAUGUUAUAUUCCCUGCUGCCAACUAUCUAGUGAGUAGUGAAGGAUCAAAAAAAAAAAAGAAAAAGAAAAAAAGAGCAAGAAAAAGAGGUGAGCCAAAGAAUGGAAGAUCCGGGAGCAUGUUCUGUAUUCCCUGGUCACCAAAGAUUACGUGGAAGUUCGAUUUUGCGUAUCUAAAUGCGUAAAUUUUGUUUAUCAAAUUCAGGUUCCCUUUAGCCACCGUCUGGUGCCAUUUAGCCGUCCAUAUUCCUAAGUUGAAAGGAACUUAUAUAAAAUGCAUGCGAGUCAACUAAGGUCAUUAAUUGUUACCAUUUUCCUAUGCAUUGUAGUGAUGUAAAACGGCCUCUGUCACUUGGGAGGAAUUCUACACUGUCGUACUUACACCACGUCAUUAAUAACAAGCCAAUCAUAUUUCUUAUUUUCAAACAAAAUUAAGUACAAUAAAAAUAUUUUUUUGCAAUCAUAAUGGGACAUGUACCCCUAAAAAGAAGAAAUUGUAUAUUGUCACACUUGCACCACGUCAUCAAUAAUAAGCCAAUCAUAUUUUUUCUUUUCAAGCAAAAGCACAAUAAAAAUAUUUUUUUGUAAUCAUGAUAAGACAUAUAUUUCUAAAAGGAGACAUUUGAUUGGUUUAUUAUGCCACGUCACCAAUAUGCCCGUCGCAUUUUAGAACUUUUCUCUAAAAGAAGACAUUUGAUUGGUUUGUUAUGACACUUCACCAAUAUAUUCGUUGCAUUCUAGAAUCUUUCGUCACUUGGACAUGGAUAGCUGUAUAUCGGUCUUUAAAAUCGGGAUGUCAAGUAUGAGUUCUGACGUAAAAUUGGUAUUUAAUUUCUUUCCACAAUAUUUAAUCCAUGAUCCAUCUUUAUCUAGAUGGUAAUCGAGAAGAUACUAGGAGAGUUAACUUGUAUAUAUAUAUAUAUAUAUAUAUAUAUAUGCAGUGACUGCUUUUCUUUUUUGUCGUUUUCGCAUGCAGUGACUUUUUUUUUCUUUUUUUCUGAUGCAUGUCAGCGAAAGUGCACACAAGCACUUGCUCACACACACACGCACGCCCUACAAGCAUACAUAAGACAAAAAGCAAUAGAUAGAUAGAUAGAUAGAUAGAUAGGCGCAUACUUACGUAGACAAAGACAUCAUACAUUGACACAGAGACAUUGGUUAGGUGCAAUAUGCCCUUUAAACUAUAGCUGUAUUACUUCACACAUGUUGAAUUUGUAGCCAUGUUGUUGAGGGAGAGGCCACCUUGCUUUUGUGCAGUUGAAUUGCCGGGCAAGUCUCCUUUGGCAGUAGUCCAUUAAUGAAUAGUCGCACACUCAAUUGGUGUUCUACUCAAGCCAACUGCCAAAGGAGGAUUGCCCAGUAAUGCAACUGGACAUGUACGUAAAUCAUGCAUGUAUGCGUGUCUCUUAAACACAGUAGUACUCCACUCUAGCUAUAUUGUUUGUGUUGUUUGUACAUAUUAGUAAGUGGCACGCAGAGAGUUGGAUCACUGUGGUUGGUAUUUAUAUUGAGACUAUAUAUGGUGAAGGUGGAGAGAGGCUACAAGUAAUGCAACGGAGCAAUGGCAUAUCCAAGGAACAUCCCCAGCAUAGGUUAUGCGUUUUUAGGAGGGUACCCUUUAAAGGUGAAUGAAGAAGAAUCCAUCCAUUGGGGAGGGACCUCAUUUAUUCCCUAUGUUUCCUUUUAAGUGGUCCUUUUUGAGCAAGCUCAGUUUUCUGGUUGAGAAAUGCUACUUAUACACUCAAAAGUAGGGUCUAAGAUUUACAUCUUUUUAUCUAAAGAUUUAGGCACUAUUUUUGGAUUAUUAGAAGAAAAAGGAUUAAAAGAAAAGGGAUUAUUAAGAUUAGUGUGAAAAAAAAAAUUUAAAUAAAAAAAGAUCAUGUGUAAAAAUUUUGUAUUCACUUUUUAAGUGUAUAAGUAGUAUUGCUCAUUUUGAUUUACCUAGGUCUAAUGGGGCAUUUUGUUGCUCGGUAUUUUAAUUUAUCGACGAUUCUUGAACUGCAUAGAAAAUCCCCCUUUCUUUAGCAUCAAAUAGUACUAAAAUUAACCAUUUAUAGUUUUCUAGAAGGGCCAUUAUUAAGAAAGCUAUAUAUUUGGAACAAUGCUAAUAUACAUGCUUAAUUCCAACUGUUUGCAUGCAUGCAUGCAUACAAUGCAAUUCUUUUUGAUUCAUCGAUAUUGGUGCAGUUAACAGGGCAUGAAAGACCUUAAACCUAAAAAAAUGCUAAGAAAAACCAAUUUGAAGUUUCAAUAGCAUCGCAUAAUUGAUAUAACAACUUGCAUCUAAAAAGCAUUUUUCUUAUGUAGGGAACUUAGAAGUAAGAAUACAUAUAUACUGAUCACCUAGAAACUAAACAACUUUAUAACUUGUAUUCCGUUCAAAACCUGACGCGUGAUAAGUAAACUUCAUACGUAAUCAAAUCAUAUAUUUCCAAUCCAGCAGGGAGGUCACUUAGGGCUUGUUUGGUUCAUCCAUUUUGGGUAUGGAAUUGAAAUCGGUUUGAUCAAAUCCGGUUAAUUUUGUUUGGUUCGCAUGAAUCGGUUUGGGAUUCCUAUUCCGGACUGGAAUGGGAAUGACCCAUUAGCCUUCAACUUGAUUCUGAUCUUCUAGUCCGGAUUGAGAUUUCAUUCCGGAAGCCCACUAAGUUCUCGAAACCUAUGUGACCAUCUCUCCCUCCUUCUCUUCACCCCUUUCUCAUAAAAAAAAAAAAAAACUAUCAUCUCUCAAAACCCUAUCCCUAACCCACAUCAAUAAAAGUUUUAAAAAUAAAUUUGAUAUUUUUUUGAAAAAUUUAUUAGAGAAUAGUAUUAUAUUUUUCAUAAAUUUUAAAUAAUAUAAAUUUAUAUUUGAGAGUAAAAUUAGUAUUAUAGUAUCCUAUAAUUUUUUUAGUUUAUACGAACCAAACAAUAAAAUGUGAAUAAUUCAUUCCAAUUCUCAAUCCACAAAUAAACUAAACGUCUUGGGGGGAGUGGACCAUUCCAAUUCAUUCCCAUUCCAUUAUCCAUUCCAAUUACACCCUUGAACCAAAUAAGCCCUUAAUUGGAUCCGAGAUAAAUCUUUUUUUUCUUUUUCUUUUUUUUUCCUUUUUUUUUUUUUUCAGCUCUCUGCACGUUCUACCUUUUAUGAUAAAGUGUGAUUUGGGUAUAAUUUUGUUCCAUGAUACUAUUCGAAUAAUAUAGCAAGAAAACGAUGACAUGAGCAAAGCCAAAAGGGAUAGCAUGGGAGAUUCUACAGCAUGUUCUCUUGCUCCUAACUCUUUUCACAUUUAAUUUAUUUUUCGUGUGAAAUGUGAGGCGCAAAAUUAAGCUGCGUGCAUGGAUCCGUUAUGCUGCUGAGUGGCUAGCUGCGGCUUUUUCCUAUUCUUACGUACACAGUUCUAUAUUAUUUAGCAGGACAACUAUACAAUAUACAUGGAGUAGAAGUAAAUUAAUUAGCUCUGAUAAAAAUUCACUCGUAAUCAUAUUUCGUGAGGAUUAUGCUGUGCGGUCUUAGGCAUCUUUUCUCACUAGCCAGCGACCGAAAAUGAUCGCCUGCAGCUAUGUAAGCAAACAAAGGAAAAAUGCUAAAUAGAUGAUCAUAAAUUCGCUUCUUCCAUAUAGAGGACAAUUAUAGAUUUAAUUUGGUUUAUUUGGUGUCGAACUUAAAAUAGUUUGAAAGUGCUCGAUUCAUAUAUAUAUGUCGCUGGAUAAUUUUGUUUCAAUGGAAAUAAAGAAUGAACUUUUUGUCCCACAAUGAACUGAAGCAUUGAUCACUUCUGCUUUAAUAUGAAGUUGUUGCAGAAACUUUGGUGAACAAUGUGGUAAUGCUUUUUUUUUCUAAUAUUUCUAAAUAUCAAAUAACAUCUCAUGGCUGAAAAGUUUCGACCGUCGGACCAAAUAAGCUAUUAUCAGUUGCGUGCUAUUUUAGUUAGUAGAGUUGUUCGAAGAUGUGCUAACACUGUUCUCAUUACAUCUCUUAGCAAUAGUUUCUUGUCGAAGCGGAGAAAAUCCACAUUAAUUGAAACUACUACUCUUGUAGACUAAACUAGAGUCUUAUUUUACCGUAGGCCAAGAGCAAAAGCUUUAAACUUUUCCUUUGUAAAAUAGUUAACGAGUACCCAAGCCAAACUAGCAUGCAAUUAGCUACGCACCAUAACAAUCAUCUAGAGAGCUUAACAAUGUCCAUCCAUGGCACAAAUGCAGCUGCACAGCGAUAAAUGCAUGCAUAUAUAACGAUGUAGUAUAUGUAUUGUUCUCAACUAUGUACGUAUACGAGUGCUACUCUUUUGUUUCUUAGAGUUAAAAAGAAAAAAACACCAGAGAAGAGUAUUGAUUAGCUAAGGGUAAAGAAAAAAAAAAGAAAAAAGAAAAGAGGAAGGCGUUGUCAUUUGCUUGCUAGCUAAGAUGCAUUGCUGGGCAAAUCUCCUUUGGCAGCGCCCGUCCCUGAUUCGGAAGUAAUGUUGAGGUCGCUGCCAAAGGAGAAAUCGCCCGGUAAUGCACCCUCGCACUUCGAUGUGUUGCUCCUUCGAGUCGAGGUUCGAUUUUGGCCUUCCAUGAAUGGAUAUUUAAAGGCCCACAGUGACUUGGUUUGUCGAGGAAUAUAUCAUCUACUUGGUGCACCGUAUGUUCGAACACCGACUCAUACACUCGUUGUUCGUUCGACACUAUAUUGGUCUUGGUGUAUAAAAAGUAUGCCACUACAGUGGAUAUGCUCCAUUUAUGCUGUAGCAUAUCCUCUUUAAAGCAGUUCUAUGUGGUCACAUACAUCACCUCUCCUCUCUCUAGACACACACAACACAAUUAUCAAAAUUUAAACCAAAAUUCUAUGUAUUGUGGAUAAUUACAGCAUAUACUAUAGAUUGAAACUGCGUGUAUGGAAGGUCCUGAAUUUAAGAGUGCAGUUCACAGCAAGAUGCAGGAAGUGUGUGACGGCUCCUAGAAAGGGCAUUCUAAUGUUAAAGUUUGCUGGAUCAUUUAUUGUUUUCCGACAACCAAUUCGGUAUUAGAUUUACCCAAAACAUUAUUUUCUCAAAAAAACUCUCAAACAAAAAACACAUAGAGCUCUUCUAAUAUUAUAUCCUUUAUUAUAGAAUUCUCUGGUUGGAGCUAAAGAUGAGAGAUUUUUUUUGCUAACAAACCACUGUUUUCGUAUAUGUCGCAUUAAACAAAUACUUCGGUAAGGAGUGUGAGUAGAAUUUUGAUCUUUGCCUCUAAUAUAGUAAUCCUCAUAUUCUACUUAAUUUCCUACUGUACAAUAUCUUUAUACAGUAGAUGUUCUCAAAAUCCAGCCUCGCGUAUACGUUGCAUGGAUAAACCAAUAUAGUUUUUUAUACUGUGGAUUCUUCCAUCUGUUUUUUUUUUAAGCACUAUUAAUAUUAGGAGCAUCACGUAAUAAAAAGUUCUUGAUGUUUCUACGGAAAAGUAGCAUAAAUACACAAUUCUUGACAUCUUUUGUUAAAAAAAAAGAAAAAAAGAAGUAACCAAAUCUUAAGGUGGUCUAUUUCUCGCAAGUUGACCUCAUUUGCCAUAGUAUAUAUGUACUAGGAAGCUGCAAAUUUUCACAAAAAAAAAAAAAGAACUUCAAAUUUACGCGUCAUAGCAAGCGAGAGAGCAUCAAACGAGGAAGAUCCGGGGGAAUGUCCUUCACCCUGAUAUCUAAAGCACAAAUUUUGUGGUCUCAUGGGAAAAUUGACGUGGAUUAAAAAGGCGACCCCCCUUUAUUCCGAAGAAUGUAUUUGUCUCGAGAAAAGUCCGAUCAUGUGCGAGUACUAAAAGAAAUUUUGGCAACAUUAGCACACUGUCUUUGAUUGCAAUGUGAUUAAGUGUGAUUAUAUAACGCGGAAUGCCCUCGAAGAAUCUAUUGUAAAUCACUUGAUUUGUGUUCCUUGCAUACUGUAUGGUGUUUCAUGUCUUGAAUACCACGACUUUGUACUUAUCCAUUUAUUUUCACAAAUAAUUCUGCGAGAUAACUUAAAUUUCUAAAAUUAAACAUAUGCAGUAAAAAGAAAUAAUAAUAAUUAAAUUAAGAGGAGUUCAUUGAGAGCAAGAAAGAGUUCUUGAUUUUUCUGAGAGAUGAGGGAGACAAUGAGGACCACUCCUCUACGGAACAACUUAAAAGGAGAAAGCGAAAAGACCACAAAGCGGAGCUCCUCAGGAAUAGUCCUGAUUUUAAAGCAUAUCCUGUAGCAUAUCCAUGCAACAAAGCUGAAGUAACCUCACUAUAAAUCCACAGCUUAGGUAACAUAUGAUAUCGUCGAGCAUCGCCGAAGAGCGAGAUAGAGAGGAGGCGAAGGAGAAAUGUGAGAUCUAAGAAUCACAGGGUGGUUCUCCUUUGGCACGAAGGCUUGCGUAGCUACGCAUGAAAAUGCCGCGAGUUAAUGCUUGUGCUCUUCUUGCCAAAGGAGAAUUGCCCUGCCAUUCACCUUCACAAAAGAGUUCACAAUAGAGUAUUAUAAUCUUCAUAUAUCAUACAAAUUUACUUUCUUUUUUCUUUUUGCAGUAAAGUGUUUUAUUUUAUUAUUUUUCUUUACUAUACAGAUCAAGGUUGUUGACUUUAAUUAAUUUUAUAUUAAAAAAAUAAACUUUAUAAUUAUUUUAGAAAUAAAUUUUACAGUAUAUAUCUUGUUUAAUUUAGCUUGAUCAAUUUUGCCAUCAUUUUGUACUAGCUUGAUACACCAUAAAAUUAUAUACUUGUAGGAAUUAUAGGCUUGAAUUUUUGAAAGUUUGUUUAGAUCGUCAGAUUAAGGAAUGAUAUAGACUUUUUGAUAGCUAAUUAUCAUAGGAUGGAAAAUAAGGAAGAUAUACUGAAAAAGUUACUCAUUCAUCUAAAUACAUUCAUUUCUCUUUCGCAUGUCAUAGAUGUAUUUGUGCUUUUUUUAUAUAUAUAAUUAAGAAGACAUAAGAUAGGGUGAGUGUCGAAUUAAAACAACCUGGAAAUUUUUGUGUAUCAUAUAUAUUUUUACUUUUUAAAAUUUAAUGUUUGAGCCCUCCAAACAGGACAACAGCUUUAAAACUGGAGGGGAAAAUAAUCUCUUGGGAUUUGGAUGGGCACGUGGUUUCUGAAGUUUCACCAGCUAAUAAUCCAAUUUAAUCUCUUCCUUAAUCAUAUAUACUGUAGCUUUUAUUAGUUUUGGUAAUUUUUUCUAUUAUUCUAUUCCACCUAAAUAUACCCCUUUUCCUUGCCCCUUAAGCUAUUCGAAAUAAUGAAUACACAGGUCCAUGCAUUAGAAAUAGCCGUUAACAACCUCCCCUCCAUCAUCUUGGAAUUUUUCAAGGCAAAUUUAGAAUAUAAUAUGUAUAGGGCUCUUUGACUUUUUGAGGAGGAAUUGCGUAAUUGAGAGGGACAAUUUGAGAUCAUAGUUUUAGAUUUGUUAUAAAAUUAAUAAGAAGAGAUGACUUAUAAUAUUUGCUUAAUGAGCCCCUAUACCUUCUUUUUCAAUGCAUAUGCACACAAAAUUUAGAAAAAAAAUGCAUCAAAGUAAUUUUCAUAUUGUAGAUUAGAAUUAUCGGAAUAUAUUAAUAUUGCCAAAGCAACUGAAAUUCUAAUUGUGCGACUUUGAGAGGAGAAAGAGGUGAGGGUACGGAUAAUAAUCUGGCCGUGCAUGGCUGGAGCUUAGACAUAGACAAGAGAAAAAAUGAUAAUAAUAAUAAGCUUUAGCGUCAAAAUAGGAUUUCUUUUUUUUUUUCUAAUUUUGCUAAUGGCAAUUAGAAUUUUUUUCUUUCAUUUUUUUGGAUCAAUAGCACUUAGAUCAUCAAUUCAUCAUUCAAUCUUCGCAAUGUGCUUAAAUCCAAAUUUGAAAAACUACCGUACAAGGUCCAAAAUAGUAUGGGGACUGAUUGAACAAAUGGAGCGAAAUUUCUGUCGAUUUAAUUUGAAAAUUAGAACACUUGAAAAGAAUCAAAAUUUAGGAGAAAAUAUAAGAAAUUACGACGUUUUGCAAAAUUGCUCGGUGUCGCGUCGCAUGCAACUCGUGCUCGGCGAUGCUUAUUUGUCAAUCCGAAUCGGGCCCACCACACGUGAUGGGAACGGGAAUCCGACGGCGCCGCCUCCUCCCGUGCAAUCCACGUGCAAUACUUCCAAAAGCACAAGAAAUUUAAGGGGAAAAAAAAUCCUAAUAAAGUACUCUUUUCAAUUUUAUAUACCUAAUUUUUCCUAAUUUUCGUUCUUUGCGAUUCUCCAAACUAGUUAAAUUAAGCCAAAAAAAAGAAUGUAAAAUAUAUUAUUAAAAAGCUAAGAAUCGAAAAUUAGGAAAAAUUAGGUAUAUAAAAUUGAAAAGAGUACUUUGCAAAUAAGGAUCGUACGGCGCACGACACGGCCUCGGGCUCGGCCAGAUGAACCCCCCUAACUCCGUUACGCGCGUGACGUCAUCCGUCGUCAGCCGGUGGACCCGCACCAGGGAGCCACGGCGAGGCCGAAGGCGCCGCGGCGGAGCACCACCGCGCACUCCGGGAGCUCGCCGAGCCCCGCGAAAAGCGCGUCCUCCUCCUCCUCCUCGCCCGCUCCCCGUCCCCCGCCGCCCAAUUCCUCGCCGCGCUCCUCGGGGAGGAGCAUCGCCGCGUCGAUCUCCGCGGCGCCGAAGAUCGGCGCGUAGAGAAACGCGUCGUCCGCCGCGGCGGGGGGCGACGUGGACGCCGGGGAGGACGCCACGUCGGAGAACCAGUGGAAGUCGUCGUGGACCAUGAGCGCCGGCUCGUCCCCGACUAGACCGGCGAACUUCUCGUCCGGUUCAGGCCGGGCCGGGGGCGGCUCGGCUUCUUCGACGGGCCGGGUCUGAGCCUGGGCCUUGUGAUGGUGAUGGCUCUUGGGCAUGGGCCAAGGGUGGUUGUGCUCGAAGGAGUAGGUAACGACGAGCAUGUUAGGAUCCGUGCGACUGCGCUCCACCUGCUUCCGUGCGGGGCAACCCUUGGAGCUACUGCACCUAUAGUAACCCCUGCAAAAUUAAAAAAAAAAAAAAACAUUUAAUUAAGGUCCUUCUAAUGAAGCGUCCGCACGCAUAUAAUUAAGUUGCACCAUAGUCCAUAGAGAGGAGGGCACUGGGGCACGGCAUUAAUUUACCUGGGGUAGGGGGAGCCCUUGAUGGGCUUUUGGCCGUACUUCCUCCAGGCCCACGAAUCCGACGGCGGAGCGCCCUCGCCGACGCCUUUGGGCCGCGGCCCAUCGGUGCCGGCGAUGGGCACCGUCACCACCCUCUUCUGCACCGAUCGUCGGCUGUUCCAAUUGAUCAGAUUCAAAAUCGAUGUAAACAAUUGAUCAGCAUGCAAUGAAAUUGGAAAUUGGGGCGGAAUUAAAUUAUCGAGGCGGAGAAGCGAACCUCCGUUUCGCCGGAGAAGAAGUACUCUGAGCAGAAGCCAGAGGGUGAGCGAGCUUGUUGUGCUCGCCCGGCGGUGACGGGAUGCUCUCAUGACCGGGCACGAUACCGACCUCCUCGGGCUCGAACGUCGGCGAGUUGCUGCUGCAGUAGCCGUCCAUAAUACGAGUAACACUCCUUCGUCGAUCGCAAUCGCCGGCUUCGGUUAACAAACAGUUACAUGAAAAGUUGCACAACUACUCUUUCCAGAACUAGAAAUCAUUCGACUGCAAAAAGAUCGGAGGAGGAGGAGGAGGAGAGCGGUGGGGAGAAAAUAUAUGGUGGGGGCGAAUGGUAACAACAUGGGGCGGUUCUUAAAAGUCGUCGCUCUUAUUUAUACAUCCGUCUGAUUGUACAUGUGAACGUUUAUACACAUCAUAUCGAAAACGAUGUUUCUAUGAAUAUAUUUUUAUCUGCUAGUUGUACUUUUCUUAUGUAUUUCGUUUGGCAUCGAAUGUGGGGGGGGCACAUAAUUAAGGGGCGAAUAAAUUAAUGGAAACUACGAAAGUAGUGAGGGUGAUCUCUCCCCCACCCAUUCCCCAUUUCCCACCAUCUCAACAAGGUUGUUGGAAUACAAUAACACAAAAAUCUUACUGGGAGAUCGAUCGAUCCCCUCUUCUCGCUGAGAUGUGAUCGAGAACAAUUUAGAAGUGACAGCUUUUUCUACAUACAGCCAAAAUAGUUGUGCUCUUCAUCACCUCCAUGUGCUUUUUCCGCGAAAGAUACUGAAUCGUAUUUUAAUGAGGUGGGGAUCGAUGAUGAUGACGCUGAUGAUGCGUUGCGCCGGUGUUGAAUCUGCGGGUGGCCCCCGGGGUCGAGACACGGCUUGGGUGGGACCCGAAAACACGGUUUGGUGGACCCGCUUCUGGAAUGGGUCCAUCCGACCGUACCCGCUACCCGUGGUGAUCCUUUUUUUUUUUUUUUAUUUUUCCUCUCCUCUCUUUUGAUUUGGCCCUGCGUAGUUUCUAAAGCGGUUAACGAAUAUGUAUAUUAGUACAUACAUCACAGAGCACAGUUAAUGAGUUAAUUUUUUAAAAAAGAUACUGUAGUUUAGCUAUGGAACUUUUCUUUUUUUUUCUUUUUUUUUUUUUUUUUUUUUUUUUUUGAGAGAAGGUAGCAUGCUACCGCUUCAUUCAUUGCGAAAGAUGAACUUGGCUACAAAGUGAGGCAGCCGGGCCUCGAAAGACUGUGAAACUUUUCUGCAGAGUGUUCAAAUCAUAUUUAGCUUUCUCUUCCUUUUAAUGACAUUUGUGUACUUUUUUUCAUUUAAAGCAUUUUUGAAACCUAACUAAUCAAUAAUAUAUACAUUAAUUGGAGAUAUUGACGAUAUUCAGACCAUUACUAGUGGUACUGUAUGCUUGUUAAAAUACAGUAGAGUUAGAAUAAAUAGAUUCAUUGAAUAUUAGUAAUAUGCUUUGACCGAAUUCUAUCAUUUUGAAUGGAUAUUUUACGUCUCUAGUAAAUAAUGGGUCUAUUAACUUCACUGCACUUUAUAUUAU